rnacentral:rRNA from 1 species
AAUUUUGGACAAUGGGGGAAACCCUGAUCCAGCAAUGCCGCGUGCAGGAUGAAGGCCUUCGGGUUGUAAACUGCUUUUGUACAGAACGAAAAGUCUUGGGCUAAUACCCUAGGACCAUGACGGUACCGUAAGAAUAAGCCCCGGCUAACUACGUUCCAGCAGCCGCGGUAAUACGUAGGGUGGAAGCGUUAAUCGGAAUUACUGGGUGUAAAGCGGGCGCAGGCGGUUUUGUAAGACAGUGGUGAAAUCCCCGGGCUCAACCUGGGAACUGCCAUUGUAACUGCAAGGCUGGAGUGCGGCAGAGGGGGACGGAAUUCCGCGUGUAGCAGUGAAAUGCGUAGAUAUGCGGAGGAACACCGAUGGCGAAGGCAAUCCCCUGGGCCUGCACUGACGCUCAUGCACGAAAGCGUGGGGAGCAAACAGG